rnacentral:lncRNA from 10 species
CAGGCCACAGCUGGAGGAAGAAAAGUGCGCCCUGCAGGGCCGGCAGCGGCAGGCGAAGCAGGAGGCCACAGUGGCACGGGAAGAGCAGGAGCGGCUGGAGGCGCUGCGGUUGGAACAGGAGGUGGCGCGGCAGGGCCUGGAGGGCUCCCUAUGAGCGGCGGAGCAGGCCCAGGAGGCAGUGGAGCAGCAGCUCCCCACGCUGCAUCAUGAGUGCAGCCGGCUGCAGGAGCAGCUAGCGCAGGCCCUCCACUCAGGGUGUCAACAGAGGUGGAUCAGAUGAGAAACCUGGAUUUCUACACACACCUGGCUACAAUGAGAUGGCACCACUCCCCUCCCCUGCAGAAGCAGACUCAGAAAAAGGUAGUUAAAACAGAAGGUUUCAAUAAAAUCGACAGUCUGAUAACAUAAUACCCAAAAGUCCAAGUUUCCAUUGAAAAUCAUUCAUCAUACCAAGAACCAGGAAAAUCUCAUACUGAAUGAAAAUAGGCAGCAAGCACACACUGGCAAUAAAAUGAGAGAAGCGCUGGGAUUGUCUGACAAACAUUUUAAAGCAAGCAAGCCUGAUGAAAAUGAUUUAGCGAGUAAUUAUGAGCACACUUGAAAUAAAUGGACAAGUAGAAAGUCUUAGCAAAUAAAUACAAGACUUAAGGGAGAACCAAAUGAAGUAUUAGAAGUGGAAAAAUACAACCACCAAAAUAAAAAGUCUGGCACAUAGGCUCAACAGCAGAAUGGAUGGUGCAGAGCAAGGAAAUCCAUCCACUGCCAAUGAAAAAGUAGAAAUUACACAAUCUUAGCAGGGAAAAAAUAGACUCGGGGAGAAAGUGAAUAGAACCUCAGGCACCUGUGAAACUACCUCAAAAGGUCUCACUUUCAUGUUGUCAUCUAUGUCUGGAAGGGGAAGAGGAAGAGGACAAGCCUGAAAACAUAAAGAAGUAAAUGGCUAAAAGCUUCCCAGAGUUGGCAAGAGACAUAAACCUAUAUGCUUAAGAAGCUGUGAGGACCCCAAAUAGGAUAAAACCCAAAGAGGUCUAUGGCAAGACACGUGAAAAAAUAAAAUGUUGGAAACUAAAGACAAAGAAAAUAUAUUGAAAGCAACAGAGAAAGGUGACACCUUACCUAGAAAGGAAAAACAAUUCCGACGAUGAUGGCUUUCUCAUCAGAAACCACGGAGGCAGAAAGAAGUUGUGCAGUGCUUUUCAAGCCGCAGAAGAAAAUUGUCAGCCCAGACUCCUCUCUCCAGCAGAAACAUCUUUCAGGGAUUAAGGAGAAGAUCAAAACAGUUUCAGAUUAAGAAAAGCUAAGGACAUCUCUGACCAGCAGUUCUACCCUAAAAGAAGGGCUAAGGGGAGUUCUCUAGACGGAAAGGAAAUGAUUAAAGAAGGAACCUUGGGACAUCGGAAAGAAAGAAAACAGCAAAAUAG